UGAUUAUAGAUAUCUUGAAGAAGCUAAGAUUAAUUUACAUGCUGGUGGGUUAUCUGUGCAUGAUUCAAAAUUGAUAAAUGGCAUCCGAGAACUAUUGGGACUCUUGCGUACUCUUGGGGAAGGCUAUAGAUUUUCUUGUAUGCAUAGAAGCCAGGAAGCUCUGGAAGUUUAUCAAAAGCUUUCAUACAAUCAAUAUAAUACUGGAUGGGUGCUUUCUCAGCAUUUGAAAGAGGAAAUGAAGCUGAGCUACCUUGCGCAAGAACUUAUAUCCA